AGGCAGCAGUGGGGAAUUUUGGACAAUGGGCGAAAGCCUGAUCCAGCAAUGCCGCGUGUGGGAAGAAGGCCUUCGGGUUGUAAACCACUUUUGUACGGAACGAAACGGUCUGCCUUAAUACGGUGGGCUAAUGACGGUACCGUAAGAAUAAGCACCGGCUAACUACGUGCCAGCAGCCGCGGUAAUACGUAGGGUGCAAGCGUUAAUCGGAAUUACUGGGCGUAAAGCGUGCGCAGGCGGUUUUGUAAGUUUGUCGUGAAAUCCCCGGGCUCAACCUGGGAAUGGCGAUGAAGACUGCAAGGCUAGAAUCUGGCAGAGGGGGGUAGAAUUCCACGUGUAGCAGUGAAAUGCGUAGAGAUGUGGAGGAACACCGAUGGCGAAGGCAGCCCCCUGGGUCAAGAUUGACGCUCAUGCACGAGAGCGUGGGGAGCAAACAGGAUUAGAUACCCUGGUAGUCCACGCCCUAAACGAUGUCUACUAGUUGUCGGGUUUUAAUUAACUUGGUAACGCAGCUAACGCGUGAAGUAGACCGCCUGGGGAGUACGGUCGCAAGAUUAAAACUCAAAAGAAUUGACGG
rnacentral:rRNA from 1 species